GCCUUUGCUUGUUGCUGCUGUGUAUCUCAUGCUGAUUGAUAUGCUGAAACAUACUGCUGCUAAAAGCUCACUGGCAGAACAUUAAUUACCUUAAAAAGGUUUCAGCCAAAUUGACCCAUCCAUCAACAGCAAGCAGCCAGGUGGUGCAGAAAGAGGAGGGGGACAGGACAGAGGGUGAAAAAGAGAAAGAAAAGAAGAACAAGCAGACUGUUUCCCACCUGCUUAUAGACAGCCACCAUUGUCCCAGUACCCAAAUAGUCUGCUGUGUCGAGUCUUCUUGACUACCGCCCUGUCGCAGUCACCCCCAUCCUGAUUAAGUGUUUUGGGGAACUGAUUCUUCAGCACAUCCAAGACAACAUCUCAGCCAGCCAGCCCUCACCCAUAUGCACUGAGAACCAACAGAUGCACAAAGGAUGCCAUAUGCCCUUCGCUCAGUCAGCCAGAUUCUUCUCAACUUUUACAUAGGAGUAAUAGGAGGCAUCCUGACAGGGAACAUCACAAACUGGCAUGGUUCAUGCACAACCCAGAACAUCAGUGGUACCCAUCUUCAGGGUAUCAGUGGCAUUGCUGAAUAGAGGUGUCUGCACAGAGUACUUAAAGACAACAGCCACACCCACAGUAUUUUCAGCCGUCUGCCAUCUGGCAAAAGAUACAGAAGUAUCUGUCUACCGAGUAGCUUUUUUUCUUGUUGUGUUGUGUUGUGAACCGACUAAUAAAUUAAUCUUUAACUUUUUUACCAUUAAACUUUAAAUGCUGAUUUGGUUGGCCUACUAUCUGACCACAGAACUGGGGUGAAUGUGGUGACGUGAGCAAUGUUCAGACACAACAAUUAUUACUUUGUGAAAACCAAUACACAAGAUGUCAGUAUUGUCUGUGCCUUUGAAAACAAUUAAUUUAUUAUUUAACCUGCAAGAACUUAAGCAUUAAAACCAACUGUAACUCAUCAAAUCACUGUUUUGAUGGACAUGCCCCCAACACCAUUGCUCAAAACCUUUCGCACACAGUACUAAAAAAUAACAUUGUAAAACAGGAAUAUGUUAACACUUCUGUGCCUAAAAAUACAACCAAAGCUGUGAAUCCAAUUACAUUUAGCAGCUGUCAGCCAGGGUGUACAUACAGCGCAUGCCUUGUUUUUGACAGUAACAAUUAAAACCUGUUGAGCUCUAAACCCACACUAAUCAGUUUGUUUUUUUGGUCCCUAGGGGGCAGUGCAACACUUUGUAAACAAAUCACAGACAUCUUAUACAGAUGAUAUGGCAAAUGUGUUUGGUGAUGGUGGUUAUAGGUCCUGUAUACCAGUGUUACUCAGUAACUGGUUACUGAUUUUUAUUUCCAAAUCAGUAAUUAUACAGCAGUUACUAUAUUAAGCUACACUGCAUUACUGCUUUGCCAAAAUGCUGUUUGUUUGUUUGUUUGUCUGUUUGUUUUGUCUGAGGUAGGCUACCUUACAUGGAUGUAUAUCAAUGGUAGGCCAGGUGAGGUCACAUCAGCUACAAGCUAAAAAGCUGAACAAAGUAAGGACAAUGAGGGAAAAAGGUACCUACAGCUUCAACAGCUGGAGGUAUUGUUGUUAUUUUGAGGUUGUCAGUCAAAGUUGCAAAGAAUAUUUUUCAUCAAUUGCAAACUUUGUUUGAGCAGCAAAACACUGUUAGCUCCUAAAAAUACAACACUGGCGUUAUAUGUCUGAAGCAUCUGAAUGGAAUGUGAAAAAAAACCAAAACACCAGUGCAGGACAAGGUUGUGGAAAGAUGUUACGUCAAGAUGUGAAGAAGCACAUUGCUGGGUAUGUCGCGGAAGAGAAGCAAUAUAGCCAUAAGGUUGCAGGCUACAAAACCAAAACAAUGAAUUAAAGGAUGCUAAAAUAGUGGGUUUAUCAUUGAGUGACCCCUUGCACAUUAAACAUUAUCAUUUGGUCCCAUUAUAAUCAUAAACAUAUAGAAUAGAGCAUCUUAGCUAAACCCUUUAACACUUACUCUUCAAUCACUAUUCUGUUUUGCUCACUGACAUGCAGCUAUGGACAAAUGUCACACAUAAGAGCAACUCUGCAUAAGUUACUUGACUGUCAUCUGUGGCUUGUAGUGAAGUUGAAGGAAACAGACACCUUAAAAAAAAUCUAUGUUCUUCCAGACUAUGUGCACAGCAGAGCAAACCCGCCAUGAAUCCAUCACGGACCAGGCUGGGCUCAGAUGAAAAUGUAGAAUUUAUGUUCUGUUUCAGUUACGUCAAUAGACACAGUGCUUUCAAGGUAUUUUAGUGGGACUAUAGUGUAAAAAUAGAAAUGUAUAUAUAUGUAUAAAAAUCUACGUUUACACUCAGCAUGUCUGCAAUCAGGGUAAACAGGCAAGCUGUAACCAUGGUAACAGCAGCAUGACAGAUUAACACAACCACAUUAACUGCAUCAGGCUUGGGUCGGGUUUUGGACCCAAAAAGUAGAGCCCUUGUCAAGUUCAGGUCGGGCUUGGUCGUGACCACGGCUCGGUUGGACUCGGACAGAAAAAUGUGUCCCGAGCAGCACACUGAUGAACCGAAAGACAUGCAGUCACUCCAAGCUGCAGCGCUAUUACAUCAGGGGGAGCAUAGCACAGGGAGGUGCAUCAGUUUGGUUUGUGCCGCUAAAGGAAAGCCUCAACAAUUUGGAGAAAGCAGCCUACUGUAGCCUCUUUGACUGAUCAAAUUGCUACCUGUCAUACAACAGGUCAGACAAACUGUUAUUGAGCUAACAGGCAGCCUUUCUAACAAGCCUGCUGCCUUCAGAGCACACAUUUAUCAGCAGAAGGAUUUCCAAUAGAAGCUGCUUAAAGAUCUUCCAGCUGACUAUCCACACACUGAGGUUGCUGUAAGUGAUGAGAUGAGUGGGAAGAUAAGAGGAGCUAACUGACCUGAUA